rnacentral:rRNA from 1 species
GAUGAACGCUAGCGGCAGGCUUAACACAUGCAAGUCGAGGGGUAUAGUAGCAAUACUAGAGACCGGCGCACGGGUGCGUAACGCGUAUGCAACCUACCUUUUACAGAGGGAUAGCCCAGAGAAAUUUGGAUUAAUACCUCAUAGUGUUAUUAGAUGGCAUCAUUUGAUAACUAAAGUUCCAACGGUAAAAGAUGGGCAUGCGUCCUAUUAGCUAGAUGGUAAGGUAACGGCUUACCAUGGCUACGAUAGGUAGGGUCCGUGAGAGGGAGAUCCCCACACUGGUACUGAGACACGGACCAGACUCCUACGGGAGGCAGCAGUGAGGAAUAUU